AAGAUAGCGCAUAAGAAGUUGACGCACCCACCAUCUUCGCAUUUC
rnacentral:ribozyme from 1 species